rnacentral:pre_miRNA from 1 species
GCUGAAAGAAUGAAAACUUGUCCAGGAACCCAAUGAGCCUUCGUCUACUCCUGAACGCCUGCGAUGCGUGGGAGUGAGCCGUUCAAACGAGGGCGCAUUGGGUUCCAAGAAAAGCUCUCGUUCUCGGU